UAGGGAAUCUUCGGCAAUGGACGGAAGUCUGACCGAGCAACGCCGCGUGAGUGAAGAAGGUUUUCGGAUCGUAAAGCUCUGUUGUAAGAGAAGAACGAGUGUGAGAGUGGAAAGUUCACACUGUGACGGUAUCUUACCAGAAAGGGACGGCUAACUACGUGCCAGCAGCCGCGGUAAUACGUAGGUCCCGAGCGUUGUCCGGAUUUAUUGGGCGUAAAGCGAGCGCAGGCGGUUAGAUAAGUCUGAAGUUAAAGGCUGUGGCUUAACCAUAGUACGCUUUGGAAACUGUUUAACUUGAGUGCAAGAGGGGAGAGUGGAAUUCCAUGUGUAGCGGUGAAAUGCGUAGAUAUAUGGAGGGACACCGGUGGCGAAAGCGGCUCUCUGGCUUGUAACUGACGCUGAGGCUCGAAAGCGUGGGGAGCAAACAGGAUUAGAUACCCUGGUAGUCCACGCCGUAAACGAUGAGUGCUAGGUGUUAGACCCUUUCCGGGGUUUAGUGCCGCAGCUAACGCAUUAAGCACUCCGCCUGGGGAGUACGACCGCAAGGUUG
rnacentral:rRNA from 1 species